rnacentral:rRNA from 1 species
UACAGAGGGUGCGAGCGUUAAUCGGAAUUACUGGGCGUAAAGCGUGCGUAGACGGUUCUGUAAGUCGGAUGUGAAAUCCCCGGGCUCAACCUGGGAACUGCAUUUGUGACUGCAUCGCUGGAGUGCGGCAGAGGGGGGAUGGAAUUCCGCGUGUAGCAGUGAAAAUGCGUAGAUAUCGGGGAGGAAUACCUAUGGCGAAAGCAGGCUUCUGGGGCUAAUCACUUGACGCUGAUCUGCGAAAGCUAGGGGGAGCAAAACAGGGAAUUAGAUAACC